CAGCCGCGGAAUUCCAGCUCCAAUAGCGUAUAUUAAAGUUGUUGCAGUUAAAAAGCUCGUAGUUGAAUUUUGGGAUCAAUAUGUUGGUCGUGCCUUUGGUACGUACUAGCUUAUUGAUUUCUCCCUUCUGACGAACCAUGAUGUCAUUAAUUUGGUGUCAUGGGGAAUCAGGACUGUUACUUUGAAAAAAUUAGAGUGUUUAAAGCAGGCUUACGCUGGAAUAUAUUAGCAUGGAAUAAUGAAAUAGGACGUUUUGAUUCUAUUUUGUUGGUUUCUAGGAUCGACGUAAUGAUUAAUAGGGAUAGUUGGGGGCAUUAGUAUUCAAUUGUCAGAGGUGAAAUUCUUGGAUUUAUUGAAGACUAACUACUGCGAAAGCAUUUGCCAAGGAUGUUUUCAUUAAUCAAGAACGAAAGUUAGGGGAUCGAAGACGAUCAGAUACCGUCGUAGUCUUAACCAUAAACUAUGCCGACUAGGGAUCGGAUGAUGUUAAUUUUUUAAUGACUCAUUCGGCGCCUUACG
rnacentral:misc_RNA from 1 species